CCCUUAGAUGUUCUGGGCCGCACGCGCGCUACACUGAUGCAUUCAACGAGUCUAAAACCUGCUCUGAUAGGGGUGGGUAAUCUUUUGAAUGUGCAUCGUGAUUGGGAUAGAUGAUUGCAAUUUUUCAUCUUCAACGAGGAAUGCCUAGUAAACGCAAGUCAUCAGCUUGCAUUGAUUACGUCCCUGCCCUUUGUACACACCGCCCGUCGCUCCUACCGAUUGAAUGAUCCGAUGAAUAUCAUGGAUUGAGGAUGCAAGUAGGCUCGCCUAUCUUCAUCUUCGAGAAGUGAAGUAAAUCUUAUCAUUUAGAGGAAGGAGAAGUCGUAACA
rnacentral:rRNA from 1 species